rnacentral:rRNA from 1 species
UACGUAGGGAGCAAGCGUUGUCCGGAAUCAUUGGGCGUAAAGCGCGCGUAGGUGGCCCCAUAAGUCCGCUGUGAAAGUCAAAGGCUCAACCUUUGAAAAGCCGGUGGAUACUGUGGGACUAGAGUACGGAAGAGGCGAGUGGAAUUCCUGGUGGUAGCGGUGGAAUGCGCAGAUAUCAGGAGGAACACCAAUAGCGAAGGCAGCUCGCUGGGACGUACUGACACUGAGGCGACGAAAGCGUGGGGGAGCGAACAGG